rnacentral:rRNA from 1 species
AGCGAACGCUGGCGGCAGGCUUAACACAUGCAAGUCGAGCGGACCUUUCGGGGUCAGCGGCGGACGGGUGAGUAACGCGUGGGAACGUGCCUUCCGGUUCGGAAUAACCCUGGGAAACUAGGGCUAAUACCGGAUACGCCCUUACGUGGAAAGGUUUACUGCCGGAAGAUCGGCCCGCGUCUGAUUAGCUAGUUGGUGGGGUAACGGCCUACCACGGCUACGAUAAGUAGCUGGUCUGAGAGGAUGAUCCGCGACACUGGGAGGGAGACACGGCCGAGAAUCUUACGCGAGGGAGGAGAGGGGAAUAUUGGAAAACGGGGGGAAGCAUGAAGCAGCCAGGACGGGUGAGUGCUGAAGGCCUUAGGGUUGUAAAGCAAGUUUAUACGGGACGAUAAUGACGGUACCGGAAGAAUAAGCCCCGGCUAACUUCGUG